AAGUUCCUCAAACUUUCGUUUUCGUGGGAUUCUCUGCUGCUGGUUUGCUGUCUCUUUCCCUUCAGUAUUACCUCGGACGUUGUGAGCCACGGGCUGCGUGAAGUGGACUUUACUGACCUUCCUUGCCCUUUUAUCAGAAGCAGAUGCCAGCGCUGUUCCAAGUGCAUAGGAUUUUCUGUCCCUUGACGUCAUUUUUCAAUGCUGAAAGUAGUGUGCCUGUCUUUGUCAGUCUUGUGUUAUUUCCGCCCUUCCAUUUCACAAACUGUGAUCAAUGGAGUCCUCCAUUCUGAUGUACUGUUGCCUUUUAAUUUUUCUAAAAAUGGGUAUUCAGUAGACCUAAAGUUCACCAGAGUAAUCUGGAAAAAAAAUAAUAAGGAGCUGGUGAGAUAUGAAUCGGAGAAAAUGGAAGUGGCCACAAGGGGGAAGCUGUUUGAAGCAGGGCUGCUGCACGGUAACGCCUCCCUCGUCCUUCAGAAGCUCCUUAUUGAUGACGAAGGGGACUAUGAAAGUGAGGUGAACUAUGCUUCGGAGCACUACAAGAAAACCUUCAGGCUCAAUGUUAUAGGUAAUGAACCACUGUCUACUUUGUCACAUAAAUACAAGCUCAUUAUUAAAUAAAUAAGAAAACUUUCACGAUUGUCAAUAUCUAGGAGGCUAGGCCAGUGGUAAACAUCCUAAAGGCAUCUGUUUCUCCAAGGUUCUUGUUAUGAGACAUCUGAAAACUUGAUGUGCUUUGUGUGACCUCAGAGUGAUGGGCAUAGCAGUUGUAGGCAAGAGGUUUGUAGCCAUGCAGAGACUGUACAAAUGAUCCUUGAGUAGGAAGUUGUGCAGCAUUACGAUGGGCUAAGAUCUCCAACCCACUGUAUUUCAUGCCAUGUCUCUGAUACAA